UAAUCACCACGCCUCCUGAACCUGACU
rnacentral:piRNA from 1 species